ensembl:lncRNA
UUGGCCGUGGGGCCUUGGUUCCAGCAGCUGCUGAAUAAACAGCCACCUCCGUUUGUGAAGGGUGAGCUCACAGCGAUGCCACGCGGCUGAAGUUUCUAUUAAGUCACGAGGGCACUUAUCAGGAGGAAAGGUAGCGGCAGGUCUGUUAGUUAAUGGGCACGGGACCCCGGGUGGUCAAAAGGGGACCACGGUGUGAGCUGCUGCACGCUGCGAUAUCCUGCAGAUGCCUCCAAAAUGACAGCUGGCGGGGCGAAUGGUCCGGCGUGCAAACAUUCAAGAACAUUCUCAAAAAGAUGACUUGCGUAUCUGCGGCAAUCUUAGCCGGCGCUUCAUGCCCAAGUGGACGAGUCAGUUAUGUUAAAUCGACUGCUCCCAGACAAAUUAUUCCUCUGAGCCUUAAGUCUUGGCGCAGUGGGAGGAUGCAGGAUGUGCGGUCAUGCUGACGCCAGGUUUGAGGCUCCAUCAGCGGGGAACGGUGUUCUCAAGAAACAUUAAAACGUGUCAGUAGUUUAAUUAUUCAUCAGUUGCCAAUGCUGUGGUGUCCAACUACCUCGAUGCGAAUGAAACAAAACUCGCCUGGAGAAGACGGGAAUCCAUGAACGAGUCAUUCUACUCUCGGACGAUUGCAGCAGACACAAGAGCACAACGAGGGACACUCCUCUCUAACUGUCUCUGCAGUGUUGUUCAAAUAUAUGGAUACAAGUGGGAUUGUGUUCUUUCUUUGAGUGGAAUUAUACCAAAUAGACCACCACUUGUUG